UAAAUAUAUAUUAUUUUUCUUAUUCUUUUCCAUUAUAGUUUCUCACAGGAUAUUGAAUAUAGUUUCCUGUGCUAUACAAUAAGAUCUUAUUGUUUAUCCAUCCUAUAUAUAAUAAUUUGCAUCUGCUAAUCCCAAACUCCAGUCCUUCCCUCCCCUACCUCCCCACUCCCUUGGUAACCACAAGUUUGUUCUUUAUAUCUGAGUCUUUUUCUGUUCCGUAGAUAAGUGGAAUCUCAAAUGUGACACAAUGAAGCCUGUAAGUGAUAUCAUGUGGUAUUUGUCUGUCUAUGAAUUACUUCACUUAGUGUGAUAAUCUUUAGGCCCAUUUGAGUUUUUUCAGUGCUAAUGAUCACGAAUUACUAUAAAGCACAUACUAGGAUUUACUUGGGCAUUUAACUUCUUUUAUUAACUAAAAUUUUAAUUAAUUUUUAAAAGUCUUUCCCUUGGGCUGAUACUAAGGCAGGCCAGCUCCUAGUGUCUCUUGGGUUGGGUUGGUAUUUUUUUUAACAUUCAUUUAUUAGUGUGUACAAUGUUUUUUUUAAUAAAUUAUUAGCAGUUUAGUUAAUGAUUACAUGGAAAGCUGUAUUAAAGCUUUUAAGUUGUAACAGUAUCAUUUAGUAAACUGCACUGUGAUUUAUUGAAUGGAGUCUUAAUAAAAUAUUUUUACUCUAAAAUAUAGUUCUUUUUUUUUCUUUUUUGGCCACCCCAAGCCAGGAUCAGAUCUUAGCUGCAGUUUUGACCUAAGCCUCAGCUGCAUCACUGCUGGAUCCUUAACCCACUGCGCCUAGCCAGGGAUCAGACCUGAAUCCUAGUGUUCCCAUGAUGCCAUUGAUCUCAUUGCACCACAGUGGGAACUCCUAAAAUAUAAUACUUCUAUAAUUUAUAUUUUAUACUACUUUAUAGAUUACUAAGCACAUUCUAAAAGGUCACCUCAUUUUAUAUUUUUAUUUGAUAAAUAUUUAAUGACUGCAAUGGGCAGAAUGUUAGGAAAAAUAAGGCCAUCUAGACAAAUAGACAUCAUAGAAGACAUAAAUGGUAUUAUAAGUCUAGCAUGAAUAAAGUGCUGUGGAUUUUCAAAGGAGGGAAAGAUUACGUCUGCCCACAGAGAUGAAGGAAGGCUUUUAUAUAAUAUGGAUUUAAAUGAAUUUUUUAAACCGUAUGUAGAUGGGGCUCAAGUACCAAAUAAAGUUUGAAGAGCAUGUUCAAAAGACUUUAAAUAUCUGAUCAUAAUGAAAAUGUUACUUUAUUCAUGGGUGUGUUUGUUGCAACCAUCACUAUAAGUAUAUUUUUGUAGUAGGAAAUUUUUUAGGUGACAAAAUUCCCAUGAUUCUAGUUAAAAGUUGAUGUAACAAUACUUAAGAUGAAUUCACACACCUUUCAUAUGCUAUAAUCUGUCUCUUACUCUAGGAGGGUAGAUUUGGAGGGGAGAGAGCACAGCUUUGUUAUUUGCUUUUGAUUUUAAGUAUCAACUAUAGUUGUAAUUAUACACAGUCAUGGAAAAUUUUUUUCUUUUUUUUUAGUUAAGUGAAUUCCUUUUCUAAUACUACAGUUCUCCUUUUAACAAUUUAGAACUUUGCUUAUUGCCACCAACAACAGCAAUAAUAGAAAUGUUAAUAGCCGUUAUUAAAGAGAACCUUCUAAGUGACAGGUAUAUAUUUACCAGACACUAUAUUUAAUCCACUCUGCACCUUCCAGAUAGACAGUAUUAGCCCCAUUUUAAAAUAAAGUUACAGGAGUUCCCAUUGUGGUUCAGCAGUAACGAAUCCAACUAGUAUCCAUGAGGAUAUCAGUUCAAUCCCUGGCCUCGCUCAAGGUUGAGGAUCGUGGUAUAGUUUGCAGAUGCUUAACACCCUGAGAAAGGCCAGGGCUCGAACCCUCAUCCUCAUGGAUACUAGUUGGGUUUGUCACCACUGAGCCACAACCCAGACUCCUGGCUCAUCUUGUUUAACCUGUAAAGAAUGGAAGACAAAUGUUUGUUAUUUUGUUUCUUUUACAGCACUUUUGUCUGUGUCAAAUUCCUACAGCAGUUUGGCAACUGAAAGAAAAACGAUAAUUAGAAGUUUUGUACUUGUUGAAAAAAAACUCUGGUAUAGCAAGUGGUAUAAAAAUGUACAUAGAAUACAGUUUUUUUGUUCAUUUGUUUUGUUUUUUGUCUUUCUAGGGCUGCACCUGCAGCCUCCCCUCUGUCUAUUCCCAGGUUAGGGGUUGAAUAAGAGCUAUAGCUAUAGGCCUAUGCCACAGCCACAGCAACCCAGGGUCCAGGCCUAGUCUGUGACCUACACCACAGCUCAAGGCAAUGCUGGAUCCUUUAAGCAACUGAGAGAGGCCAGAGAUCGAACCUGUGUCCUCAUGGAUACUAGUCGUGUUCAUUAUCGCUGAGCCACAACAGAAACUCCUGUAAUCUUUUUUUUUUUUUUUUUUAUGCCCACACCUAUGGCAUAGGGCUAGGAACUGAAUUUGAGCCACAGCUUGGAUCCUUUAAUCUGCUACACUGGGCUGGGGAUCUAGCCUUUGCCUCCAUCACAGUCAGGUUCUUAAUCCACGUGCCACAGUGGUAACUCUGUUAUGUAAUAUUUAUAUACAGUUAAGAUUAUCUAUUUUUGUUAGAUUACACAGGGAUUAAAAUUUGUUACAUAAAAUUUGUUAUAUGCAAUUAUAUAUAUUUAAUUAUAAAACAGUAAUCAAGAUUCUAGUAAACCUCCACCCAACUUAAUAAUUAGAAAAUUCCCUCUACUUUUGAAACUACUUAUGUGUUCUUGUUGAUUCCUAUCCAUUGCCUCAUUCCAAGAGCUAAUCACUACUCCUAACUUUUUAAGGAGAGAUCCUCUGUUAUUUCUCUAUACCCUGGGACUUUUUAAUUAACUGGUUGAUCUUAGUUUGAUGAAUCAGUUGCCAUUGCAAAAACUCUACACUCAUUAUCUGGGUAAAUUGUGUUUUAUUUUGAGUUGUAUGUGUAUAAAUUCAUGAAAUAAACUAUAUUCUCAUAUCAGUAUAUAAUUUUACUCUCUCCCUUAAGGCUUAAGUUAUUUGGAAUUUUUUUUUAGUAACAAGAAAUGCUUUUGAAAAAAAUUCAUUUAUGAUGAUGUAUGCACAUUGAAAUUAAGCAAGAGUAGGUUAUCUAGGGCUAAUUUAUUAAAGGUAAACAGAGUAAUUGAAAAUUAAGCAGAUUUUUACUCUAUCUUAUACAAAAUUAUAGACUGUUGAGAUAUGCCACAUUGUGGCAUUAGUGUUUAAAAUUUGGUGUUUUGGUAAGGAAAUACUUUUGCAAUUUUUGGAGGCUGUGUUCUGGAUAACUUGAAUUUUUGCUGAAUUUUUUCAGUAAUAGUCCGGGCCUAAAAUCUGCACAUCUCCAGUGGACUCACCAAUUUUCCCCUUCUGUGAUAGCGCCAUAAUUUCCCUAGGCUUGAUUCCUUUCUUUUCCUUCUGUCUUCUUUUUUACCAUUCUAAUUUGAGCACUCUUUUCUGCUUCAACUCUUUUAAAUAGCUUCUAAGACAGGUUUUCCAGCUGAUAGAUGCAAAAUUUUUUAUUCAUUUAUUCGCUCAUCAUUUGACCUCUAAGUAACCCACUGUACUGAGCAUUUGAUAAGAUCUAGAGAUAGAUGUGAAUGAUAGAGAUUCCUACCCUCAAGUAUUUCCUGGUCUAUUAACGUGGAUGACAGCCUGGCAAAUACGGUGGAUGUUGCUUUUGAGGGCUGUAAUAAAGAUAUGCAGAGCACCUUCAGUGUAGAUACUGGUUGAAGGUGGUUGGUAUCACAGAGUUCCUCAGGAGAUUUAUGUGUGAGAUUGCGUUUAGGAUGAUAAAUGAAGUGAGCCUAGUAGAGAAGGGAGAAAUGGUUGGCCAGGCAAAGUAAGGCGGCCUGUUAAAAUGAAGCAAAAAAAUCUGGCUCCACCCUCCAACUGGAAUGUGAGCACACCUAGUACUGUUGAAAUCUUCUCUCCUUGAAGGCCGAUUUCAAGUGCUGCCUCCUCCAUAAUGCUGUCCCUAACUUCCUCUCCACCCCUCCUUCCCUCCUCUAGCCAGAUGUGAUUUUUUUCCUCAACCUUUGAAUAGCUUCUCCAUGUUUUUUAAGGAGCUUGUCACAUUUCUCCCCUUGUAUUGCAGUUAUUUAUGUUGCAGCUUUCAAGCAUCUUGUGGACAUUUUAAACCUUACUUUUGAAUCUGUGCCUGGCACAGUAAUUACAAUGUUGUAUAUACUUGUAAAUAUUUGUUAAAUGAGUAGACAAAUGAAUGGGUGAGCAAAUAAGAUUCUUGAGAUAGAUAUAUAAUUAACAAGGAGACCUAUGAUAGAUAAAAUAAAUGAAAACUGAGCUGAGACUUCAUGUCAGAUGGCAUGCGCUAACUGAAUAUAUAAAUUCCCAAUUAUUCAUAGGUCCCAAAUUAUACCACUCGUUUUCUGAUGACAGAUUUUUCUUUCUUGGAGUUUUGUAUCAUUCAGGCAAUUUUUGAGGAACUGUGUUCAAAUUCUUAUGACUUUUAACUCUGUAAUAUAAAAUGGCUCAAUAAUAAGGGGUAAUUAACAUGUUCAUUGUCUGUGUGUCCAUCAAUACCACUUAGUAAUAUCAGAUUCAUGCUGUUAUUAAAUUAUUUUAAGAUGUUGCGGUUUUAAAAUUUUUAAUCCAUUACUGGGAGGUAGUUACUGUUUUGCUUAUCAUUUAACAAAGCUCCCUUUAAAAAGAAUUUUGGUGCUACUUUAUAGCACUUUGGAUACUCAAAUCAUGGAUAUUAUUUGCUUAGAAUUUUUUUUCUUUUUUUUAGUAAAGGCAGUUAGAGACCAGCUGUUACAACUGCUGUGUCUGUCAAUUCAGAAACUUGGUAAAAGGACUGGAAAGUGUACUUGUUUCAGUACUGUAAGCUCUUUAAAACAGAACAUAUGUGGACUUCCCUUGUGGUAUUGGGAGUUAAGGAUCCAGCAUUGUCACUGCAGGGGCUUAGUGCUGUGGCAUGGGUUUGAUCCUUGGCCCAAGAACUUGCACAUGUCAAAGACAAACAAACAAAAAAACUAGAACGUAUGUUUUAAAGCACUUGUUUAUGUUUCCUCUUUAAGGAGCUUUUCUUGCGUGAUGUUGUAGAACUGUGAAAUCCCCAAUUUCCUAUAUCUUUAUAGUGUAUAUUAUAUAUACAUUUUAGAAAAUAUAGUAUUUUCAUAAAAGCAUUUCAAUCAUAUUUUUAAACAGCAACUUAAAGGCCAUAAUCAUGGUAGCAGAAGUGAUUUGUGAAAUUAGUUCAGCUGCACAUUCUGGCUGUUUUGUAGAAACUUUAUUGCUUUAGUAAAGCAAAUUGUAUGUUUAUAUUGAAAAUUAUAUAUAUACAUAUAUUCACUUUGGUUAUAUAGAGAAUUGUAUACUUUGGACAUACCUCUGAAGUACAUUUUUACUUAUUAGCAAUUUAGAUAAAAACAUUUAAAAUUAUAAAAAUAUAUAUCCUAAUUACAGAAUCUGGGGUAAUACAGAAAAAUAGCAGAUGACUGUUACCCCAACCAGUCACUGUUAACAGUUUGUUUUCUUUCUUUUUUUCUUCUUACUAAUUUCUCAGAAUAUUGGACUAACUUUGUGUCUGGCUUUUUUGCUUAAUAUAAAAUUUUCCUUAGUGAGUACAACUUCUUUGAAUUAUACUUCACUAAGCAAAACAUCAGUUUUAGCAUUGCUAGUUUUUUUAAGGUUCAUUCUUUGCUUUAAUAAAUAACAAUAGUACAAAUUGGUUUGUAAAACUUUCAUAUUUCUGAUUCUUAGAAAAUAUGCAAAAAGAAGAAUUAAUGGAUUAGAGGACUGAAUUAUAAAAUUCUUGAUCAGUGUUGCCAAAUUGCAAGCUGCAAGUUUUGUACAUUUCCACCAAUGACAUUUAUGUAUGCUAGUAAAACUGAAUUUGGGGGAGCCUGAUUCUAAGUUUCAACUUCAGGUUAACGAAGAGUUACUAAUCAUGUUCCAUACCCCCUGCUAGGUGCUGGAUAAACAAAGGUACAAAGAUAAGGUCCUUCAUCUCAAGGUGAAAUAGCUGUGGAGUCAAGUGUGUUAUCAGACAGCCUGAUAAGUGUUACAAUGGAAGUGUUUGCUCACUCUUGGGUGUAAGGAGGUAAUUGUUGGGUUGUUGAAAGGUAAAGAGGAGCUGAUCUCUGAACUGGGUUUAGAAAAUGAUCACUUUCAAAUUUAAAGAUGGAUAGAAAUAUGUAUACAUACAGUAUAUAAUAAGAUCUUAUUUUAAAAAGUUAAUGAGAAUCAAGUUCAGAAAGUGCCAAUAAAGAGUGAAUUGGAAAGUAGAUAGCUAUUUUUUAACCUUGGGUGAUCAACUUACUGUGUAUAGUUUCAUGAAAACUGAUGAAAAGAGAUGGAAAUGUUUUCUUUUAUGAAUCAUUAAGUGCAGCAAGAUCUGUUGGAAGGUAUUAAAUAAGUAGGGUUUGGGGGAUUUUACAGCCCUGAGUCGUUAGGGAUGAACAACUGAUAAGGGAGGAAUAACAACUUAUCUACCUCACAUUUUGUUGUAUUUAGCUUUGGGGCAAUACAGAAAAAAAACAAAAAACAAAAAA
ensembl:lncRNA